GACGAACGCUGGCGGCGUGCCUAAUACAUGCAAGUAGAACGCACAGUUUAUACCGUAGCUUGCUACACCAUAGACUGUGAGUUGCGAACGGGUGAUUAACGCGUAGGUAACCUGCCUGGUAGCGGGGGAUAACUAUUGGAAACGAUAGCUAAUACCGCAUAAUAUUGAUUAUUGCAUGAUAAUUGAUUGAAAGAUGCUAUUGCAUCACUACCAGAUGGACCUGCGUUGUAUUAGCUAGUAGGUGAGGUAACGGCUCACCUAGGCGACGAUACAUAGCCGACCUGGGAGGGUGAGCGGCCACACUGGGACGGAGACACGGCCCAGACGCCUACGGGAGGCAGCAGUAGGGAAUCUUCGGCAAUGGACGAAAGUCUGACCGAGCAACGCCGCGUGAGUGAAGAAGGUUUUCGGAUCGUAAAGCUCUGUUGUAAGAGAAGAACGGGUGUGAGAGUGGAAAGUUCACACUGUGACGGUAUCUUACCAGAAAGGGACGGCUAACUACGUG
rnacentral:rRNA from 1 species